GCACCCGUAGCUCAGCGGGAUAGAGCGCUGCCCUCCGAAGGCAGAGGUCACAGGUUCGAAUCCUGUCGGGUGCGCCA
rnacentral:tRNA from 1 species